rnacentral:lncRNA from 1 species
UCGUGAUUGGAUCCGCAUAUGUUUGGUAAAGAGAAUAAUCUUAUCCUUUGAGAAUAAUAAAAAAUGGACAGUGUUCAAUUGGAACAUGAAAACAUGACUAAAUUGGUCCUAGUUACUCUUCGGGGCGGAGAGGACGAAGGGGGGGAUUCUCGAAUACGGAAAGGAUCCAAUCCAUUCGAAGGGGGAGCAGAGCAGCAGGCAGGCAAAGCAGGGGAAGAGAUAUGGAUUGCACCGAAAGCAAUGCCCUUCGCACCUAAGUGCCACAGGCUUCAUAUGCAAGAGUUAGGAUAGAGCUUUCACUAAUAUAAGGGGGUCGCUUUGAUUGAAAAGUUUCUGAUUCAAUUGUAGUGCAUUCUCGAACAGUAAGAGCUGAAUCGGAAUA